CCUACGGGAGGCUGCAGUGGGGAAUAUUGGACAAUGGGGGGAACCCUGAUCCAGCCAUGCCGCGUGUGUGAAGAAGGCCCUCGGGUUGUAAAGCACUUUCAGUGAGGAAGAACGCCUGGUGGUUAAUACCCAUCAGGAAAGACAUCACUCACAGAAGAAGCACCGGCUAACUCCGUGCCAGCAGCCGCGGUAAUACGGAGGGUGCGAGCGUUAAUCGGAAUUACUGGGCGUAAAGCGCGCGUAGGUGGCUGGAUAAGCCGGUUGUGAAAGCCCCGGGCUCAACCUGGGAACGGCAUCCGGAACUGUCAAGCUAGAGUGCAGGAGAGGAAGGUAGAAUUCCCGGUGUAGCGGUGAAAUGCGUAGAGAUCGGGAGGAAUACCAGUGGCGAAGGCGGCCUUCUGGACUGACACUGACACUGAGGUGCGAAAGCGUGGGUAGCAAACAGGAUUAGAUACCCUAGUAGGC
rnacentral:rRNA from 1 species